GACGGAGGAUGCAAGCGUUAUCCGGAAUGAUUGGGCGUAAAGCGUCCGCAGGUGGCAGUUCAAGUCUGCUGUCAAAGACCGGGGCUUAACUUCGGAAAGGCAGUGGAAACUGAACAGCUAGAGUAUGGUAGGGGCAGAGGGAAUUCCUGGUGUAGCGGUGAAAUGCGUAGAGAUCAGGAAGAACAUCGGUGGCGAAGGCGGCUCUCUGGAACGCAACUGACGCUGAGACGCGAAAACGUGGGGAGCAAACAGG
rnacentral:rRNA from 1 species